rnacentral:rRNA from 1 species
GCGCCUCGUGAAUUCAUCUCCGGGGGUAGAGCACUGUUUCGGCUAGGGGGCCAUCCCGGCUUACCAACCCGAUGCAAACUGCGAAUACCGGAGAAUGUUAUCACGGGAGACACACGGCGGGUGCUAACGUCCGUCGUGAAGAGGGAAACAACCCAGACCGCCAGCUAAGGUCCCAAAGUCAUGGUUAAGUGGGAAACGAUGUGGGAAGGCCCAGACAGCCAGGAUGUUGGCUUAGAAGCAGCCAUCAUUUAAAGAAAGCGUAAUAGCUCACUGGUCGAGUCGGCCUGCGCGGAAGAUGUAACGGGGCUAAACCAUGCACCGAAGCUGCGGCAGCGACACUGUGUGUUGUUGGGUAGGGGAGCGUUCUGUAAGCCUGUGAAGGUGUGUCGUGAGGCAUGCUGGAGGUAUCAGAAGUGCGAAUGCUGACAUAAG